rnacentral:rRNA from 1 species
AUUGAACGCUGGCGGCAGGCCUAAGACAUGCAAGUCGAGCGAGAAAGUACUUCGGUACGAGUACAGCGGCGGACGGGUGAGUAACGCGUAGGAAUCUACCUAGUAGUGGGGGACAACUCGUGGAAACGCGAGCUAAUACCGCAUACGCCCUACGGGGGAAAGCGGGGGAUCUUCGGACCUCGUGCUAUUAGAUGAGCCUGCGUAAGAUUAGCUAGUUGGUGGGGUAAAGGCCUACCAAGGCGACGAUCUUUAGCUGGUCUGAGAGGAUGAUCAGCCACACCGGGACUGAGACACGGCCCGGACUCCUACGGGAGGCAGCAGUCGGGAAUAUUGCGCAAUGGGCGAAAGCCUGACGCAGCCAUGCCGCGUGUGUGAAGAAGGCCCUAGGGUUGUAAAGCACUUUCAAUUGGGAGGAAAAGCUAAUGGUUAAUAGCCAUUAGCCCUGACGUUACCUUUAGAAGAAGCACCGGCUAACUCCGUGCCAGCAGCCGCGGUAAUACGGAGGGUGCAAGCGUUAAUCGGAAUUACUGGGCGUAAAGCGCGCGUAGGCGGCUCUUUAAGUCGGAUGUGAAAGCCCCGGGCUCAACCUGGGAACUGCAUCCGAUACUGGGGAGCUAGAGUGUAGGAGAGGGAGGUAGAAUUCCAUGUGUAGCAGUGAAAUGCGUAGAUAUAUGGAGGAAUACCAGUGGCGAAGGCGGCCUCCUGGCUUAACACU